UAUACGUGCUUGAUUAAUUGAUAUAAUCACAUAUCCUUUGGAAUUUAGCAUAUAAAAAUAUUUUUUUCUUUAAAGUUAAUUGUGUCAUGAAUGAGAUUUAAUUAAAUCAUGAUAGUAUGCUGAAACAAUGACUCUGCAAGAUAAAGAAAAGUUGUAAUGGUUGAAAUGUCAUAUUAUACAUGCCUUUCUACUCUUAGUUUUUGAAACUUAGUAGUCCCUUCAUAGAAUAAAAUAAAAUAAAAUAAAAUAAAAUAAAAUAAAAUAAAAUAAAAUAAAAUGAAGGGAAAAGGAAAAGAAGGAGAAGGAAAAGGGAAAGGGGAAGAGGGAGAGGCAGAGGGAGAAGGGAGGGGAGAAGGUAGGAGAGGAUAUGGUUCAGCAGCAAUACUGGUUUGAAGUAUUCCUGACUAUCCACAGCAUCUUAUUUUCCUAAGGAUUCAUCACAUUGCCUUCACAGCUGCAGUAGUGCAGCUGUUGGCAUGGAUAUGAUGUGAAAAAGACCUAACAUGAAAAAAAACUUUCCAAAAAGUCUCAUAUUCUAUAUCAAAAAUAUAGCGUCAAUGAGGCUACAGUGUUACCAAAUCUUUCUUAGUGUUAUUACCUUUUGUGUUUAUUAGCAGAUGAAAAAAUGAUUUUUGUUAGUCCCUGAUCUGGUCAGUUAAGGUAGGCUUUUUUUCUUAAAAAUUCUAUAUUGAAUUGACUCAAUAACCUAAGUUCAUUUUUUUCAAUAACUUCAGCACUCUUUUCUCUCCUCCAUUCAAAGUUUUUUAAUGCACAUGGUGUAGUUCAUCAACCAGUUCCUCUCUUCUAGCAGAAAUAAAGGAAUCUGACUUUUAGGUUGUGACCUGGUUUGUCUCAGUGUCUUUAUGCAAUGUCCAAACAUGAUAUUUUUGGAGACCCAGUUAUGCAUCAGAUUUUUUCAGCAUCUGUUAUAGCAGAGGUGAUGUAUGAGCACAAGAUUAACAUAAAUCUGCAAGAAUAAUGUCAACUUACAAAAUCUACGUUGACAAAAAUGAAAAGAAUGAAUACAUGAAUCUGAAAAUAGAUCCAUAUAUUGUGUGCUGGUGGGUAUUUUAGAACUGGAUUUAUGGGUCUUACCUUCCUUUUGAUAAGCAUACUUGGACAAGUUUUCUCUAAAAGCUUUAACAGGAAUCCCUCAAAGAGUUUUGCAAUAAAUUAACAUUAAAAAACCCAAAAACUGAAUCAGUUAAAUGCUGAUUUUUCUGGUUUGUAUAAAUAUUUGACCGUUUCAUUGUCCCUUUGUGUUAACUAUUUGCAAACUGGAAUGCAGAGAGCAAAUUGCAAAAGCCGGUUUUAAUUCUUACAGCUUUUUCAAUCACCCAGAUAAUUUUAACUUUCUGUAUUAUACCAUGUGCCAUAGGAAAAAUAAUUCUGAAAGCUGUAAAUUUUGUACCAAAUGCCAUACUUUUCUUUGAAAACAAUAGUAAAGACCAAUUGGGUCUCAUAUAGCAACUGCUUCCACUCAAAAAAAAAAAAAACAAAAAACCAAACAAACAAACAAAAAAAAAACCAACAAAAAAAAAGUGAAAAAAUUCAGGUUUCAUCAAUAUAGUAUUGCAAAAACAAAAAACAGUUGGACAUGUGAUAGGAAUUUCUUUGAAAUGCAGCAGCUCCUAGGAACAGUGAUAUGAUCCAUCUAGGUGAAAGCUACAUUUUGCUUUGUUUCUGUCACAAUAUAUUAAAAUUAUACUGUCAUUAGAAUGAGAAUGUAUGGGAACUGUUGAGUCACAGCCUGCACCACUGAUUGAGCACCUGGGGAAAGGAUUGGUCAGCCCUGGGAGCACAGGUGAAGGCAAUUCAGCUGUGUGAUCGGAAGAGCACCUCUCUCAGACUUCAUCUAAGGACUGACUGCCACUCCUUGGUGGAGCUUUCUCCUGUGAACCUGGAAUCUUUUGAUAUGGGUGAAGUAUUGCUAAGGUGCUGCCUGGCACAUGAGGUGGGAAAGGCAUUCCUCACAUGUUCAGAGAGGCAAAACGUGUGUACAUGAUCACAAAAGUAUAUGUAUUUUAGGAAAAGAUUUGAGAAUCCCCUUUAAUUUUCAGUCCCUUUGAAUAUGCUUUACCUUUUGUUUUUGCAAAGGCAGUUAGAAAGCAUACAGAG